rnacentral:rRNA from 1 species
GGCAAGUAAGCUACUAAGGGCGUGCGGUGGAUGCCUAGGUGCCAAGAGGCGAUGAAGGACGCGGGUGGCUGCGAAAAGCCCCGGGGAGCUGUCAACCGAGCGUUGAUCCGGGGAUGUCCGAAUGGGGAAACCCAGCGCUGCGAAUAGCGGCGUUACCUUUCACUGAAUACAUAGGUGGAAUGGAGCUAACCAGGGGAAGUGAAACAUCUCAGUACCCUGAGGAAGAGAAAACAAUGAGUGAUUCCCAAAGUAGUGGCGAGCGAAAUGGGAGAAGCCCAAACCGAAACCACGAAAGUGGCGUCGGGGUAGCGGGUCCACGGUAGGACUUUGACUUGCUAGCGGAAGCCUCUGGAAAGAGGCACCAAAGAGCGUGAUAGUCGCGUACGCGAAAGCGAGUUGGAGCUGAGUGGGUUACCCAAGUAGGGCGGGACACGUGCAAUCCUGCCUGAAUCAGCCGGGACCAUCCGGUAAGGCUAAAUACUCCUUGGCGACCGAUAGUGAACAAGUACCGCGAGGGAAAGGUGAAAAGAACCCCGGUAAGGGGAGUCAAAAGAACCUGAAACCGCAUGUCUACAAGCAGUUCGAGCACUACGGGGCAACCCAGUGCGAGAGCGUACCUUUUGCAUCAUGAUUCGGCGACUUAAUAUACGUAGCGAGGCUAAGCCGUUAGGUGGAGCCGGAGCGAAAGCGAGUCCGAAUAGGGCGUAUAGUUGCGUGUAUUAUAACCCGAAGCGGGGUGAUCUACACAUGGCCAGGUUGAAGUGCGGGUAACACCGCAUGGAGGACCGAACUCGUGAAAGUUGAAAAUUUCUGAGAUGAGCUGUGUGUAGGGGUGAAAGGCCAAUCAAACUCCGUGAUAGCUGGUUCUCCCCGAAAGAUAUUUAGGUAUCGGCUCGGGCAAUUCAAUGCCGGAGGUAGAGCACUGGAACGGCUAGGGGUCUCACCAGAUUACCAAACCGUACCAAACUCCGAAUGCCGGCAAUUGUUAUCCCGGGACGCAGUCAGUGGGUGAUAACGUCCAUUGGCAAGAGGGGAAUAACCCAGACCGACAGCUAAGGCCCCCAAAUCUAGUCUAAGUGAACACUAGAAAGGAUGUGGCAGGUCAUUGACAACCAGGAGGUUGGCUUAGAAGCAGCCAUCCUUUAAAGAAAGCGUAAUAGCUCACUGGUCAAGACAGGCCGCGCCGAAAAUGUAACGGGGCUCAAGACUAGUGCCGAAGCUUCGGGUCACACGUAAAGCGUGUGGCGGUAGGGGAGCGUCCCAGUUGCAGCGAAGGUCGACUGAAAAGGCGGCUGGAGCGGCUGGGAGUGCUGAUGCCGAAAUGAGUAGCGUUAAAGGGGGUGAGAAACCCCCUCGCCGUAAGCCCAAGGUUUCCUGGGUCAAGUUAAUCUUCCCAGGGUUAGUCGGAACCUAAGCCGAGGCCGAAAGGCGUAGGUGAUGGAAAGCGGGUUAAUAUUCCUGCACCAUCUUGUGAGCGUUGAACUAAGGGAGGACGGAGAAAGCUAGGCGAGCUGACCGGUGGUUGUGUCAGUCUAAAGGCGUAGGGGUGUCGCGUACGAAUAAAGGCGCG